rnacentral:rRNA from 1 species
GUGCAGCAGGCGAGAAACUUCACAAUGUGCGAAAGCACGAUGAGGGAAUCCCAAGUGCUUGCACGUAAGUGUAAGCUGUUCUCUGUCUAAAACGCAGAGAGAGUAAGGGCUGGGUAAGACGGGUGCCAGCCGCCGCGGUAAUACCUGCAGCUCGAGUGGUGACCGUUAUUAUUGGGCCUAAAACGUCCGUAGCCGGUUUAAUAAAUGCCUGGGUAAAUCGGACCGCUUAACGGUUCGAAUUCCGGGUAGACUGUUAAACUUGAGACCGGGAGAAGUUAGAGGUACUCCUGGGGUAGAGGUGAAAUUCUGUAAUCCUAGGGGGACCACCAGUGGCGAAGGCGUCUAACUAGAACGGGUCUGACGGUGAGGGACGAAGCCCUGGGGCGCAAAACGGGGAUUAGAUACCCCCUGUAGU